GACGUAGGUGGCGAACGUUAUCCGGAAUUAUUGGGCGUAAAGGGUGCGUAGGUGGCCUGACAAGUUAUCAGUGGCAAAUCGAGGCUCAACCUCGUGGAAACUGGUAAUACUGUUCGGCUUGAGUACAGGAGAGGUUAACGGAACUCUAUGUGGAGCGGUAAAAUGCACAGAUAUAUAGAAGAACAUCAAUAAAGGCGAAGGCGGUUAACUAUUCUGUUACUGACGCUGAGGCACGAAAGCGUGGGGAGCAAAACGG
rnacentral:rRNA from 1 species